CAAUAGCGUAUAUUUAAGUUGUUGCAGUUAAAAAGCUCGUAGUUGGAUUUCGGGUGGGACGCAGCGGUCUCGCAUUGCGUUUGUACUGCUGCAGCCCUCCUUCUUGCCGGGGGCGGCCUCUCGGACUUCACUGUCUGGGGGUCAGAAUCGGCGAUGUUACUUUGAGUAAAUUAGAGUGUUCAAAGCAAGCUUACGCUCUGAAUAUAAUAGCAUGGGAUAACACGACAGGACUCUGGCCCAUCGUGUUGGUCUAUAGGACCAGAGUAAUGAUUAAGAGGGACAGUCGGGGGCAUUCGUAUUCCGUUGUCAGAGGUGAAAUUCUUGGAUUUACGGAAGACGAACAUCUGCGAAAGCAUUUGCCAAGGAUGUUUUCAUUGA
rnacentral:rRNA from 1 species